rnacentral:rRNA from 1 species
AUGGUUCUCCUCGUCCCAUCCACACUCCCACGGGCACCCUACGGAGCAGCCGCGUCCACAUCGUCGCCGACGCCGUUAUCCAUUCACCCGCGCCCAAGGCGGCAUGCUCUCGCCGUCCCGCGCUGCUCCGCUCGCCGGACUCCGCCGCCCACCGACGCAGCCGCCGGCAGGGAGACCGCGGCUGCUGCUUCUUGGGCCGGCAAGCUAGCCGGCGCCGUGCCAUGGAAGGCGGCCGUCUCCGGCGCGCUCGCGCUCACCUUGUCCUUCUCCUGUUUUGUCGGUUUGGUCAAUGCCAAGGCUGGGGUCAACAAGCCCGAGUUGCUCCCCAAGGAGUUCACCACCGUCAUUGACGUCGCCGGUUUCCUCUCUUCAGGCCAGGAAAAUCGUUUACGUCAAGAGAUAGAAGACCUAGAGAAGGACACUGGAUAUAAGUUGAGAGUUCUCGCACAAAAUUAUCCAGAUACACCAGGAUUGGCUAUCAAGGAUUUUUGGCAAGUUGAUGACAGAACUAUUGUCUUCGUUGCAGAUCCCACCUUCGGUAACAUCAUAAAUUUCAACAUUGGUUCAUUGAUUGAUCUAGACAUUCCUCAGAGCUUCUGGAGUCGUGUUGCAGGGAAGUAUGGAAACAUGUUCUAUUGGAAAGAAAAGGGAGAGGAUGCAUCAAUUGAAGGCGCUGUGAUGGCAAUAUCGCGCUGUCUGAGAGAGCCCACAGGGGCAAGUAAUUGUUCGGAGGUAUUUUAG